UUUCCGUAGGUGAACCUGCGGAAGGAUCAUUACAGAGACAUUGCCCUUUGGGGUAGAUCUCCCACCCUUUGUUUACAUUACCUUUGUUGCUUUGGCAGGCCCGUCCUUGGACCACCGGCUUAGGCUGGUCCGUGCCUGCCAGAGGACCCUAAACUCUUGAUUUUUUGUGUUGUCUGAGUAAAUAUUAUAAUAAGUUAAAACUUUCAACAACGGAUCUCUUGGUUCUGGCAUCGAUGAAGAACGCAGC
rnacentral:misc_RNA from 1 species